UACGUAGGGGGCAAGCGUUGUCCGGAAUUAUUGGGCGUAAAGGGCUCGUAGGCGGUUGGUCACGUCGGGAGUGAAAACUCAGGGCUCAACCCUGAGCGUGCUUCCGAUACGGGCCGACUAGAGGUAUGCAGGGGAGAACGGAAUUCCUGGUGUAGCGGUGGAAUGCGCAGAUAUCAGGAGGAACACCGGUGGCGAAGGCGGUUCUCUGGGCAUUACCUGACGCUGAGGAGCGAAAGCAUGGGGAGCGAACAGG
rnacentral:rRNA from 1 species